CCUACGGGAGGCAGCAGUGGGGGAUAUUGCACAAUGGGGGAAACCCUGAUGCAGCGACGCCGCGUGUGGGAAGACGGUCCUCUGGAUUGUAAACCACUGUCCCCAGGGACGAAGAUGACGGUACCUGGGGAGGAAGCUCCGGCUAACUACGUGCCAGCAGCCGCGGUAAUACGUAGGGAGCGAGCGUUGUCCGGAAUUACUGGGGGUAAAGGGAGCGUAGGCGGGACGGCAAGUUGGGUGGCAAAUCUACCGGCGCAACCGGUAGCCGCACUCAAAACUGAAGGUCUUGAGUGAAGGAGAGGGAG
rnacentral:rRNA from 1 species